GAGGGAGGGACGGGGGCUGUGCU
rnacentral:miRNA from 2 species